GUGCUUGUAGCUCAACAGAUAGAGUGCUUGGUUUCGACCCAAGAAGUUGUGGGUGCAAAUCCUGCCAAGCACA